GUCAGCCCGGCGGGGAAGGACCAAACGUGAACCGCCGCUUGGCCCUCUAUUUAAUGAGCACCACCAGUCACUAGACACAGCGCCCGCAGGCCGCAGCUGCAGUCUGCAGAGCACAGCCGUGCGCGGUUUGCAACCGUACCAGCACAAGCACCCCAGGCGGGCAGGAAACAAGCCUCCUCCGCUGCUCCGCCGCAAUGGCGUCCCCGCGCGGCCAUCGCCGGGCCAGCGUGCUGCAGAAGGCGGCGGCGCUCCUCCUGCUCGCCCUGUCCUGCUGCGGCUGCACCGGUGCCGGCGCCGGUCCAUCGGCGCCAACCCCGAAGGUGCCGGCGGUGAUCGUGUUCGGGGACUCGACGGUGGACACGGGCAACAACAACGCGAUCGGGACCAUCCUGAAGAGCAACUUCCCGCCGUACGGGCGCGACAUGGCCGGCGGGGCCCAGCCCACGGGGCGGUUCUGCAACGGGCGCCUGCCGCCGGACUUCAUCUCCGAGGCGCUCGGCCUGCCGCCGCUGGUCCCGGCCUACCUCGACCCCGCCUACGGCAUCCAGGACUUCGCCCGCGGCGUCUGCUUCGCCUCCGCAGGCACCGGCCUCGACAACAAGACCGCCGGCGUCCUGUCAGUGAUCCCGCUGUGGAAGGAGGUGGAGUACUUCAAGGAGUACAAGCGGCGGCUCCGGCGACACGUGGGGCUCGCCGGUGCCCGUCGCAUCGUCUCCGACGCGCUGUACGUGGUGAGCGUCGGCACCAACGACUUCCUGGAGAACUACUUCCUGCUGGUGACGGGGCGGUUCGCGGAGUUCACGGUGGGCGAGUUCGAGGACUUCCUGGUGGCGCAGGCGGAGUGGUUCCUGGGCGAGAUCCACCGGCUGGGCGCGCGGCGGGUCGCCUUCGCGGGGCUCAGCCCCAUCGGCUGCCUGCCCCUGGAGCGCACGCUCAACACGCUCCGCGGCGGCUGCGUCGAGGAGUACAACCAGGUGGCCCGGGACUACAACGCCAAGGUGCUCGACAUGCUCCGCCGGCUCACGGCGGCGCGGCCGGGGCUGAGGGUCGCCUACAUCGACGUGUACCAGAACAUGCUGGACCUCAUCACCGACCCUUCCACGCUGGGUACGUGACUGAGUGUCCCUCCAGGAGUUGGCAAUUGCAAUGCCAUGCCACCUGAUCUGACCUGGCCUGGAUGGACGACUGGCAGGGCUGGAGAACGUGGAGGAGGGGUGCUGCGCCACGGGGAAGGUGGAGAUGUCGUACCUGUGCAACGAGAAGAGCCCCGACACAUGCGACGACGCGGACAGGUACUUCUUCUGGGACUCCUUCCACCCCACCCAGAAGGUGAACCAGUUCUUCGCCAAGAAGACGCUGGACCUGUGCUACGACCAGCUCCUGCUGUGAUGCUGAUGAUGCGCCCUAGAGCUCAGUGUGGCUACGUUUAGUCCACACUCCACAGUCAAAAUUGUUGCUGCUAAUUCGUCUCCGUGUGUAUAGCAUAGCUAGCAUUCGAUGUGAUGUAUGUAGUAGUAUAUGGUUGCUGUGCCUGUCUCGAUGCGUCGAUCGAUGGAUUCACGAUUCUUUUGGGCUUAAAUGCUCAUAAGGGAGAUAAAAUUUACACAUUUGACGCGAGUUACAAUUGGUUCCGGCCGGAGCCGGACGUCUUUUAUGCCAUUUGUUUGUGACAGAGAGAUCGAUGGAUGUAGUAUAUACUGCUAGUAGUAGUUCCUAGGCUCUUGGUGGAGUGAUUGAUUAAACAAGCAGAGCAGAGAGAAACAAGCAGCUGCAAUGCAACAGUUCAGUUACGGAUGGCGCCGGAGAUGGAUCACGCAUUCACCGUUCUGGACAAGUUGUUGGUGAUGCAGCCCAUCCUGAAGAUCUUGGCGAAGGAGCGCCAGAGCCUGAGCUCCUGGUGCGCCAUCAUCGUCGGCAUCCCCUCCUUCACGCAGUGGUCGUACUUCUCCAGCACCGACACAAUGUAGCUGAAUUCCGGCCGCCGCGCCGGGUUCGCCGACCAGCACUUCUUGAUCAGGCUGUUGAGCACCGGCGGGCACGAGCUCGACAGCGGCGGGC
rnacentral:misc_RNA from 1 species